rnacentral:rRNA from 1 species
UAGGGAAUAUUAGAAAUGGACGAAAGUCUGAUCUAGCAACACCGCGUGUGCGAAGAAGGCCUUCGGGUUGUAAAGCACUUUUUGGAAGGAUUAGGAAGGAAUGUACUUCCAGAAUAAGUCUCGGCUAACUACGUGCCAGCAGCCGCGGUAACACGUAGGAGGCAAACGUUAUCCGGAUUUACUGGGCGUAAAGCGCGUGUAGGUGGUUCUGUAAGUAGGGCGUGAAAGCUCCUGGCUCAACUGGGAGAGGCCGUUCCAAACUGCAGAGCUAGAGGAUGGUAGAGGGUGGUGGAAUUCCGGGUGUAGCGGUGGAAUGCGCAGAUAUCCGGAGGAACACCAGUGGCGAAAGCGGCCUCCUGGACCAUUCCUGACACUCAGACGCGAAAGCUAGGGUAGCAGACG